rnacentral:rRNA from 1 species
CCGGGGGAACUGAAACAUCUAAGUACCCCGAGGAAAAGAAAUCAACCGAGAUUCCCCCAGUAGCGGCGAGCGAACGGGGAGGAGCCCAGAGCCUGAAUCAGCAUGUGUGUUAGUGGAAGCGUCUGGAAAGGCGCGCGAUACAGGGUGACAGCCCCGUACACAAAAGCGCAUGUGCUGUGAGCUCGAUGAGUAGGGCGGGACACGUGGUAUCCUGUCUGAAUAUGGGGGGACCAUCCUCCAAGGCUAAAUACUCCUGACUGACCGAUAGUGAACCAGUACCGUGAGGGAAAGGCGAAAAGAACCCCGGCGAGGGGAGUGAAAAAGAACCUGAAACCGUGUACGUACAAGCAGUGGGAGCACCCUUUGGGGUGUGACUGCGUACCUUUUGUAUAAUGGGUCAGCGACUUAUAUUCUGUAGCAAGGUUAACCGAAUAGGGGAGCCGGAGGGAAACCGAGUCUUAACCGGGCGUUAAGUUGCAGGGUAUAGACCCGAAACCCGGUGAUCUAGCCAUGGGCAGGUUGAAGGUUGGGUAACACUAACUGGAGGACCGAACCGACUAAUGUUGAAAAAUUAGCGGAUGACCUGUGGCUGGGGGUGAAAGGCCAAUCAAACCGGGAGAUAGCUGGUUCUCCCCGAAAGCUAUUUAGGUAGCGCCUCGUGAAUUCAUCUCCGGGGGUAGAGCACUGUUUCGGCUAGGGGGCCAUCCCGGCUUACCAACCCGAUGCAAACUGCGAAUACCGGAGAAUGUUAUCACGGGAGACACACGGCGGGUGCUAACGUCCGUCGUGAAGAGGGAAACAACCCAGACCGCCAGCUAAGGUCCCAAAGUCAUGGUUAAGUGGGAAACGAUGUGGGAAGGCCCAGACAGCCAGGAUGUUGGCUUAGAAGCAGCCAUCAUUUAAAGAAAGCGUAAUAGCUCACUGGUCGAGUCGGCCUGCGCGGAAGAUGUAACGGGGCUAAACCAUGCACCGAAGCUGCGGCAGCGACGCUGAUGCGUUGUUGGGUAGGGGAGCGUUCUGUAAGCCUGCGAAGGUGUGUCGUGAGGCAUGCUGGAGGUAUCAGAAGUGCGAAUGCUGACAUAAGUAACGAUAAAGCGGGUGAAAAGCCCGCUCGCCGGAAGACCAAGGGUUCCUGUCCAACGUUAAUCGGGGCAGGGUGAGUCGACCCCUAAGGCGAGGCCGAAAGGCGUAGUCGAUGGGAAACGGGUUAAUAUUCCCGUACUUGGUGUUACUGCGAAGGGGGGACGGAGAAGGCUAUGUUGGCCGGGCGACGGUUGUCCCGGUUUAAGCGUGUAGGUGUGUGUUCCAGGUAAAUCCGGUUCACUUUAACACUGAGGCGUGAUGACGAGGCACUACGGUGCUGAAGCAACAAAUGCCCUGCUUCCAGGAAAAGCCUCUAAGCAUCAGGUAACAUCAAAUCGUACCCCAAACCGACACAGGUGGUCAGGUAGAGAAUACCAAGGCGCUUGAGAGAACUCGGGUGAAGGAACUAGGCAAAAUGGUGCCGUAACUUCGGGAGAAGGCACGCUGACACGUAGGUGAAGUGAUUUACUCAUGGAGCUGAAGUCAGUCGAAGAUACCAGCUGGCUGCAACUGUUUAUUAAAAACACAGCACUGUGCAAACACGAAAGUGGACGUAUACGGUGUGACGCCUGCCCGGUGCCGGAAGGUUAAUUGAUGGGGUCAGCGCAAGCGAAGCUCCUGAUCGAAGCCCCGGUAAACGGCGGCCGUAACUAUAACGGUCCUAAGGUAGCGAAAUUCCUUGUCGGGUAAGUUCCGACCUGCACGAAUGGCGUAAUGAUGGCCAGGCUGUCUCCACCCGAGACUCAGUGAAAUUGAACUCGCUGUGAAGAUGCAGUGUACCCGCGGCAAGACGGAAAGACCCCGUGAACCUUUACUAUAGCUUGACACUGAACAUUGAGCCUUGAUGUGUAGGAUAGGUGGGAGGCUUUGAAGUGUGGACGCCAGUCUGCAUGGAGCCGGCCUUGAAAUACCACCCUUUAAUGUUUGAUGUUCUAACGUGGACCCGUGAUCCGGGUUGCGGACAGUGUCUGGUGGGUAGUUUGACUGGGGCGGUCUCCUCCUAAAGAGUAACGGAGGAGCACGAAGGUUGGCUAAUCCUGGUCGGACAUCAGGAGGUUAGUGCAAUGGCAUAAGCCAGCUUGACUGCGAGCGUGACGGCGCGAGCAGGUGCGAAAGCAGGUCAUAGUGAUCCGGUGGUUCUGAAUGGAAGGGCCAUCGCUCAACGGAUAAAAGGUACUCCGGGGAUAACAGGCUGAUACCGCCCAAGAGUUCAUAUCGACGGCGGUGUUUGGCACCUCGAUGUCGGCUCAUCACAUCCUGGGGCUGAAGUAGGUCCCAAGGGUAUGGCUGUUCGCCAUUUAAAGUGGUACGCGAGCUGGGUUUAGAACGUCGUGAGACAGUUCGGUCCCUAUCUGCCGUGGGCGCUGGAGAACUGAGGGGGGCUGCUCCUAGUACGAGAGGACCGGAGUGGACGCAUCACUGGUGUUCGGGUUGUCAUGCCAAUGGCACUGCCCGGUAGCUAAAUGCGGAAGAGAUAAGUGCUGAAAGCAUCUAAGCACGAAACUUGCCCCGAGAUGAGUUCUCCCUGAGACUUAGAGUCUCCUGAAGGAACGUUGAAGACGACGACGUUGAUAGGCCGGGUGUGUAAGCGCAGCGAUGCGUUGAGCUAACCGGUACUAAUGAACCGUGAGGCUUAACCUUACAACGCCGAA